rnacentral:rRNA from 1 species
GCAAAGUUGUGUAGUGCGAUCGGUGGAUGCCUUGGCACCAAGAGCCGAUGAAGGACGUUGUGACCUGCGAUAAGCCCUGGGGAGUUGGUGAGCGAGCUGUGAUCCGGGGAUGUCCGAAUGGGGAAACCUGGAAUGUCCGGAGUAGUGUCCGGUGGCCCUGCCCUGAAUGUAUAGGGGUGUGGGUGGUAACGCGGGGAAGUGAAACAUCUUAGUACCCGUAGGAAGAGAAAACAAGUGUGAUUCCGUGAGUAGUGGCGAGCGAAAGCGGAGGAGGCUAAACCGUGUGUGUGUUCAAGCCGGCAGGUGUUGCAUGUGCGGGGUUGUGGGGGCCUUGUGGUUCUGCUGCCGCAGGAUUGGCCAGUGAGAAAUGUUGCGUGAAGGUGAAGCGUCUGGGAAGGCGUACCGGAGUGGGUGAGAGUCCUGUAACUGUAAGCGUGGCACUGGUGUGGGGUUGCCCCGAGUAGCGUGGAACUCGUGGAAUUUCGCGUGAAUCUGGCGGGACCACCCGUCAAGCCUAAAUACUCCUUGGUGACCGAUAGUGGAUGAGUACCGUGAGGGAAGGGUGAAAAGUACCCCGGGAGGGGAGUGAAAGAGUUCCUGAAACCGGUCGCAUGCAAGCCGUCAGAGCCUGUGUGGUGAUGGCGUGCCUUUUGAAGAAUGAGCCUGCGAGUUAGUGAUGCGUGGCGAGGUUAACCCGUGGUGGGGGAGUCGUAGCGAAAGCGAGUCCGAUAAGGGCGUGAGUCGCGUGUUCUAGACCCGAAGCGGUGUGAUCUAUCCAUGGCCAGGAUGAAGCGUCGGUAAGACGUCGUGGAGGUCCGAACCCACUUCAGUUGAAAAUGGAGGGGAUGAGUUGUGGAUAGGGGUGAAAGGCCAAUCAAACACCGUGAUAGCUGGUUCUCCCCGAAAUGCAUUUAGGUGCAGCGUUGCGUGGUUCUUGUUGGAGGUAGAGCACUGGAUGGUCUAGGGGGCUUAUCGGCUUACCGAAAUCAGCCAAACUCCGAAUGCUGGC